rnacentral:rRNA from 1 species
CCUACGGGCGGCAGCAGUGGGGGAUAUUGCACAAUGGGGGAAACCCUGAUGCAGCGACGCCGCGUGUGGGAAGACGGUCUUCUGGAUUGUAAACCACUGUCCCCAGGGACGAAAAUGACGGUACCUGGGGAGGAAGCUCCGGCAAACUACGUGCCAGCAGCCGCGGGAAUACGUAGGGAGCAAUGGUUGUCCGGAAUUACUGGGGGAAAGGGGAGCGUAGGGGGGGAUGAAAGCUGGGUGUAAAAACUACCGGUUAAACCGAUAGUCGCACUCAAAACUGCAGCUCUUGAGUGAAGUAGAGGCAGGCGGAAUUCCUAGUGUAGCGGUGAAAUGCGUAGAUAUUAGGAGGAACACCAGUGGCGAAGGCGGCCUGCUGGGCUUUUACUGACGCUGAGGCUCGAAAGUGUGGGGAGCAAACAGGAUUAGAUACCCCGGUAGUC